GAUGAACGCUGGCGGCGUGCCUAAUACAUGCAAGUCGAGCGAACGGACGAGAAGCUUGCUUCUCUGAUGUUAGCGGCGGACGGGUGAGUAACACGUGGAUAACCUACCUAUAAGACUGGGAUAACUUCGGGAAACCGGAGCUAAUACCGGAUAAUAUUUUGAACCGCAUGGUUCAAAAGUGAAAGACGGUCUUGCUGUCACUUAUAGAUGGAUCCGCGCUGCAUUAGCUAGUUGGUAAGGUAACGGCUUACCAAGGCAACGAUGCAUAGCCGACCUGAGAGGGUGAUCGGCCGCACUGGAACUGAGACGCGGUCCAGACUCCUACGGGAGGCAGCAGUAGGGAAUCUUCCGCAAUGGGCGAAAGCCUGACGGAGCAACGCCGCGUGAGUGAUGAAGGUCUUCGGAUCGUAAAACUCUGUUAUUAGGGAAGAACAUAUGUGUAAGUAACUGUGCACAUCGUGACGGUACCUAAUCAGAAAGCCACGGCUAACUACGUG
rnacentral:rRNA from 1 species